AGUGUAAAGAAAGUUCCGAGAAGAGGCCACUCCCCAGGUGAUGAAUAGCCUUUCUUUCCAAGGCAAUCAAAAUCCCACUUCCUUUUGCCUUGCUGGUGGGCGGGGCGGGCAAGGUCCUGCCAGGCCUCUGGGCGCAGCUAGAGGAUUCAGGAGUGCAGGCAGAGCUCGCGUCAUUCAGAGUGAGUCCCCUCUGCGAGGGAAAGCCGGGCUACUGCAGCGCCACCAGCAAGGGAUUGGGACUCACGGACUUCAGAACAGAAGGAGCCUCAGGUGAGUCCCGCUUUCUGCGCGUUCCGGGACAGAGCUCGCGGAUCUGUGCGCACAAAGGAGCCGGGUACGGUGAUGGGCGCGGGAGAUGCGGAUGGGUGGAGAGGGAGCAAGAGCAAGGGCUGGAGGCGGUUUGCUCAGGCGGCAGAGGUUAUGGUCUGAAGACUGGGAGCAAUGGCCGAAAGACUUGGGCUCGUGACCCCGGAAGUGGGGAGGGAACUCAGCCAGAAGCUCUGCUGUCCGGGCCGCUGCUCGGCAAUCCACACUCGUGACCCUUCUUCGCUAGUUCCCACGGGAUCGUCUCCAGUUUAGCACACUGCUUCACAGCCAAGAGCAGUCCUGAUGCAGUGCAGAAGCUGGGCUCACUUGUAGCUCUGUGGUAGCGCUCUUUUCAAAUGCGCCGAGCCCAAGUUGGAUUCCCGUUGCAGGAAAGGGAAGGGGAAAUAAAAGAAGAGAAACCGUUCAAAGAGCCUGUUGCUCUUUAACCCAGGUUUCUUUGGGAUUGUGGCUAGUAAAACUAUACAUAGCCUUCUAGAAUACAAAAGUAGGGGAUGUAAGCGGGUAAAGGUCCGAAUGGGUAAGACCACUACACUAGGUGUACAUUCAGUCUUUUGUUACAGACCUUGGACUCUGACAGUUUUUUUUUUCUUGUAUAUUCAUCUCUUCCCUGAAAAUGUUAACAGUAAAAGACUUAAAGAUUCAAGCCACUUAUUAAAGGAAGAGGCAGGCAUAUUUAUGAGUUCGAAUCUAGCCUUGUCUAUAGAGCAAGUUCUCAGACAGCCAGUGCUACAGAAACAAAACAGGAAAGCCAACCAAAACAACAAAAAGAGUUCUCACUUUUGAAUCAGUUAAUAUAAGCUUGAUAAAGUACCAAGUGGAAAGGUGGAAACUAGCUUUUAUUAUAUCAAAUACUUGACACAGCCCCCAUCCCUACAACUCUCCCCAUGGUUCCUGCGUGGCUUGAUUUCCGUAAUCUUAUUCCUGGAAGUUAGGUAGGGCCAUCUCUCUGUUCCAAGACAAACAAUUAUACUUUCUUCCCAAACAAUUACACUCUCUUCUUCCGGCUUAGCGGCUUAGCAGUUGGAACUAAAUACUGGGUACCAGGAACCAGGGAAGCUUAAUAAAAAGCACCCCCGGGCACCUGGGGGCGUUUCCUUCUUGGCUUUUCCUAACAACAGAGCUUUCUACCUGGAUACUUACUACAAUUGUGCUGCUUUGAAUAAUAAACAAACAAACAAACAAACAAACAAAAACCCAGACUGUUGGUAAGCCAGCUAGAGUCCCUACUUGCAGACAGAGCAGCAUGACCUCUCUCUCCUCAGCUGUGUAACUCCAGAGAUUCUUCAUUCCCCCUGAAUAAGGUGAGAUUCUAGCUUCAAGGACCUCAAGUUGAGCAACACCCUCUGUUUGUAGUGUCCACUGAACACACCAGCAGCCUUUGCUCCGUGGCGUGGCUUAUGAUAGAUAUUUUUCUUUGUGACUUUUACCUGUCUUAAUGGCACCGCAGCCACCUCUAUAUAAACCUGUGCCCCUUUAAACCUUUCUAACAUCAUCAUUUUUACUCACAGUACUUUCAGUAUAUAUGCAAUAUGCUUAGUUUUCUUAUUAGUCCUGGGUCUACAGGUUUACUGGUUGAAGUGUUUGUAUAGAAGUUUGCAUGGUCUAUAGUAUAAACUUAUAGACUUUUUGCUGUCUAUACGUACAUUGUAAACAGCGUUUGUACUAUGUACAUAGUGUAGACCCUGUGGUAUCCAUGAAUACCCCCUUGAAAACCCAGGGUGUUCAUACAGUGAAUAUUUCUUCAGGAAAUAUUUAUAUAAGUAUAUUUGCUUGUGUGUACACAACACACUAUUGUAGUACAGCAUUACAUAAAUAGAACUCAGUGAAACCAUCUAGUUAACGUGUGUUAACAAGUGUUCUUCGUAUUUUUCAAAUUAAAAUUUUUUUGGGGGGGAACUUACCUAGCCACUAAAUGAUUGACCCCAAGAAUAAACUGUAACUCUGGGCUUUGGUGUGUUACAUAACGGGGUGCCCUUUAAAAUUCUUGCCAACAAAUUUCAUUUGUUAGAAAGCUGGAAGCGUUUUUUUGUUUUCAUUGAACCAGAUAUAAUAAUAUGAAGCUAUGCAAAUGAGCUGUCUUAAUUCAUCAGUUAGUGAACUGAGAAGCCGUAAACAACAAUCUUGGCUCAGUGGAUUCAGGGGCUUCAUUUCUAAGUAAGCAAAAAGG
rnacentral:lncRNA from 1 species